rnacentral:lncRNA from 1 species
GGCCAUAUGGUUCCUAUAGGGUAUAUAGGGGAUCCAUAUGUUCCUAUAGGGUAUAUAGGGGGUCCAUAUGGCUCCUAUAGGGUAUAUAGGGGGUCCAUAUGGUUCCUAUAGGGUAUAUAGGGGAUCCAUAUGGUUCCUAUAGGGUUUAAAGGGCCCCUAUAGGAAGAGUAAGUAAACCCAUAUGGAUUCUAUGGGGCAUAUGAAAACCAUACGGUUUCUAUAGGGCAUAUGCAUCCUAUGGGGUACGGUGGGGUGCAUAUGGCUCCUAUAGGGGGCGGGUGGGGGGCGGUACGGCCCCUAUAUGGCCCGGAAGGGGUGGCUGGUCCCAUCAGGAGCCUUUAUCCUUGGAGGGAGACCUGCAAGAGAGAGAGACCCUAUAGCUCCUAUAGGGCCGGGGGGGUGUAUCCCUAUGGCUCCUAUAGGGCUGGUUGGGGGGACAUCCCUAUAGCUCCUAUAGGGCCGGGGGGGGUGUAUCCCUAUGGCUCCUAUAGGGCUGGUUGGGGGGACAUCCCUAUGGUUCCUAUAGGGCUGGUUGGGGGGGUGUCCCUAUGGUUCCUAUAGGGCUGGUGGGGGGUGUCCCUAUGAUUCCUAUAGGGCUGGUGGGGGGUGUCCCUAUGGCUCUUAUAGG